rnacentral:rRNA from 1 species
UGCCAGCAGCCGCGGUAAUACGGAGGGUGCGAGCGUUAAUCGGAAUUACUGGGCGUAAAGGGCGCGUAGGCGGUUCGAAUAGUCGGGUGUGAAAGCCCCGGGCUUAACCUGGGAAUUGCAUUCGAUACUGUCGGGCUAGAGUGCGGUAGAGGGAAGCGGAAUUCCGGGUGUAGCGGUGAAAUGCGUAGAUAUCCGGAGGAACACCAGUGGCGAAGGCGGCUUCCUGGACUGACACUGACGCUGAGGCGCGAAAGCGUGGGGAGCAAACAGGAUUAGAUA